rnacentral:rRNA from 2 species
GAUGAACGCUAGCGGCAGGCUUAACACAUGCAAGUCGUGGGGCAGCGCGGACUUCGGUCUGGCGGCGACCGGCAAACGGGUGCGGAACACGUACGCAACCUCCCUCAGAGCGGGGAAUAGCCUCUCGAAAGAGAGAUUAAUACCCCAUAGUAUCUUGAAGACACAUGUCUAUGAGAUUAAAGCUUCGGCACUUUGAGAUGGGCGUGCGGCUGAUUAGGUAGUUGGUAGGGUAACGGCCUACCAAGCCGACGAUCAGUAGCUGAUGUGAGAGCAUGAUCAGCCACACGGGCACUGAGACACGGGCCCGACUCCUACGGGAGGCAGCAGUGAGGAAUAUUGGUCAAUGGAGGAAACUCUGAACCAGCCAUGCCGCGUGGAGGAUGAAGGUCCUCUGGAUUGUAAACUCCUUUUAUAAAAGAAGAAACCCCAUUUUUCUAAAUGGGUUGACGGUACUUUAUGAAUAAGCACCGGCUAACUCCGUG